UACGUAGGGGGCAAGCGUUGUCCGGAAUCAUUGGGCGUAAAGGGUGCGUAGGCGGGUUGGUAAGUCCGUGGUGAAAUCCCCAAGCUUAACUUGGGAACUGCCGUGGAUACUAUCAAUCUUGAAUAUCGUGGAGGUAAGCGGAAUAUGUCAUGUAGCGGUGAAAUGCUUAGAUAUGACAUAGAACACCAAUUGCGUAGGCAGCUUACUACACGAUCAUUGACGCUGAGGCACGAAAGCGUGGGGAGCAAACAGG
rnacentral:rRNA from 1 species